CCUCAGACGUGGUCUGAAUCUGAGAGAGGCCAGCAGAGAGAGACCCCCCGACGGCAUUUCUCGGCGUUAACGUGGUCGUGCAGUGGGCGUCUCCAGAUCGGGAAUAAUAAUGGACUAACAGUCUUCUUCUGCUGUUUCAGUUUGAUCGCCGCUCUGGCUUCUCGGGGAGCUGAAAGAAGAUGAGCCCCUUCUCCUCGGCAGAGGGGGGGUUUGCUGCUGCUGCUGCUGUGUGGGGGAGUGGGCUACAUCCUGUGGCGUUUCCUGUGUUUGUAAACUAGACGGUACAGCAAAAAAAAAAAAUACGUCGCCGAGCAAAGCUGUUUUUAGUACUAGAUGAGUGAGGUGGGUGUGGCUUCCCACCAGCCCGACCAUCCUGACUGACGGAUC